ensembl:lncRNA
GUUUCCUAUGGGACCAGCAUACCUGAUGCGGAUGCACUGUAUGAGCAGCUGGAGAGAAAUUCUUCCGUGACCCUGUACAAGGUGUCAGAGGAGAAAAUCAAGGAAAGCUCUGAAUUGGUGCCCCCACACCUGAAAGCUGUUCCCGGGACAAUGAAAAUACACCAACUGACAUCCACAAAACCUGGAGUCAUAAACACAAGGCCAGUGUCCUGCUUUUGUGACAAAGAUUGUCAGUGCUUUCAACCAACUUGCCACGCUUUCUCUGAGGGAGGGGAGGAGGGCCCUGACAGCAUCGAGGAACCUGACAGCACCGAGGCCACCAUAGAGGUUGGACAGUGGGUCCUUGUUGAAUAUGACGACGGCGAUUUGUUUCCUGGCACAGUCAAACAGAUUGCUGAUGACCAGUAUGAAGUGGACACCAUGACGCGUGUAGGGGAAAACCGCUUCUAUGUCCCAAGCAUCAGAUUUCCUGGAGAAAUGGUCUGGUAUUACCGCCAGGACAUACGGGACAUAAUCCCAGAACCACUUCCUGCCACCUCCUCUGCCAGACAUUUUUGCAUUUUGCCUGAUUUAUGGGAAAAACACAAAAUCCGCACAUGAUUCACUUUAUCACAUUAUUCUCAAAAAUGAUUCUGAUAAAAGGUUGCAUGAUUGAAGGUCAAGACCAAAUGCUUUUAUAUUAAACUAAAACAAUUGUAAGAUCAUAUGAUUGUAUGUUAAAUUGAAAUGUUUCUCAGGAUGACAUGAUAGGUGUAUGAUUGGUAAAUGUAUUUGUUUUAGUUGUUUACAUAGAUGGCAAAUGUUUUUUUAAGUUGUUUUGUUUAACACAAGACAUGGUACUGUUAUGACCACUUUCAAUGAGCAAACCAAGCUCUAUUCAUGAAAUAAAUAUUCUUUUAAAAUUA